CCAUUUAUUUGAUCGCUGGUUUAUUUUUUUAAAACCCGGCCAAUCCGGUUCACUGGCCGGUCUUCUUCGGCCUUGAUUCUUUCUCCGACCGGUUCAUACCACAAAAUCUCGACUCCCUAGCCAAGCCCAGUUUUCUGCUCCCGGAAUCGCUGUCAGAUCUUAUCAUCCGAGAGAAUUUUUUAUUCCAGGGCUUGUGAAAAGCGUUUUUCGAAUCGAACGACGUCGUACUGGUUCAAUUUUUUUUGGGCGGUGGAUUGUCUGCGAAGCAUGACAGGAACGAGGCUCCCAACAUGGAAGGAGAGGGAGAACAACAAGCGGAGAGAGAGGAGACGGCGGGCGAUCGCCGCGAAGAUCUACUCCGGUUUGCGUAUGUACGGUAACUAUAAACUGCCUAAGCACUGCGACAACAACGAGGUCUUGAAAGCUCUCUGCAACGAGGCCGGUUGGACGGUUGAAGAAGACGGCACCACUUACAGAAAGGGAUGCAAACCUGUGGAACGCAUGGAUAUUAUGGGUGGCUCAGCAUCAGCAAGUCCAUGCUCAUCAUACCAGCCAAGCCCAUGUGCCUCCUACAAUCCAAGCCCAUGUGCCUCCUAUAAUCCAAGCCCAUGUGCCUCCUACAAUCCAAGCCCUGCCUCUUCAUCUUUCCCAAGCCCUGUCUCAUCCCGUUAUGCUGCCAAUGCGAAUGUUAGUGCUGAUGCCAAUGCCCUCAUUCCAUGGCUCAAAAACCUCUCAUCUGGUUCAUCAUCAACUUCAUCCAAGUUCCCCCACCAUCUCUACAUCCAUGGAGGUUCUAUAAGUGCUCCAGUUACCCCUCCAUUGAGCUCUCCAACUGCCCGAACUCCACGACUCAAGAAUGACUGGGAUGAUACAACUGGUGGGCCAGGCUGGGCCGGGCAGCGCUACUUCCUGCCUUCUUCCACCCCUCCAAGCCCUGGCCGUCAGGUUCAUCCUGAUUCAGGAUGGUUUGCCGGUAUGCAAAUUCCCCAAGGUGGGCCAGCAUCUCCCACAUUCAGCCUUGUCUCAGCAAACCCAUUUGGUUUUAAAGAGGAGGUUUUAGCAGGUGGAGGAUCUCGAAUGUGGACUCCUGGGCAAAGUGGGACAUGCUCUCCUGCAGUUGCUGCGGGAUCUGAUCAUACAGCUGAUGUUCCAAUGGCAGAUGGGAUUGCAGCUGAGUUUGCAUUUGGCAGCAAUACAACAGGGUUGGUGAAGCCAUGGGAAGGAGAGAGGAUCCAUGAAGAAUGUGGAUCCGAUGAACUUGAGCUCACCCUUGGGAGCUCUAGAACCAGAUAAGAGGACAGAAGGAAAAUUGACCUUGGGUCUCAUGGUUUGGCUUUAAGCUUCUCGUUGUGCAAAAUGCAACUAGUUCUUACCAUGUUGAUGAUUUCAAAUUUGCAAUGUUUCAGUUGGGAAGGCAGAUCGAGUUUGAAAUACAGAUUUUGGAUGUGAAGAUCAACCGAUUGAUUAUGGAGUUCUCACCAUACUGGCACAUCUCUAUUAUUGUUCUCUAGAUCUGGUGAUGUGUUGCAUUUUCUCCAACUGAAUUAUUUGCUUGGGAUGGACAUCUUCAUUUGUCUCAUUACAAUCACCAUUAAUGCAUAUUAUUAAUUGAAGUUAAAGAAGGGCAAUGAGGAAAAAGUUCAAGUAUGUUCAGCAUUAGAGUGGGAUCCAAUCAUUCCUAUGAAUUAUGGAAUAGAUAUUGGAGUGGUCAAAAAGUUGUGAUGGAGGUUUUCAUUUAAUCAUAUUUUAGGGCAUCUUAAGAAUUCAGGGAAUAUGGGACAAACUUGCUGCAGUGGAUUCUGCGUAGACCAGCGACACACAGUUGUGUUUUGUCUUAAAAGGAUGAUGAAGAACUAGCAUCAUACUGUUGGAUGAGGCCGCAAGCGAUCGCAAUAGCAUUAUCCAUGGGAGAGUUGCAUAACAUGAAAUGGGUUGUGAGAAACUUCCAUGUAGGGGCUUGGCAAAACUAAGAAUCCGUGAUUUCAAUAAAUGUUUUUUUAUCCUU